rnacentral:snRNA from 1 species
GUGCCCACUUCAGUGGCACAUAUACUGACACUGGAACAAUACAGAGAAGAUUAGCAUGGCCCCUGUGCAAGGAUAACAUGCAAAUUUGUGAAGUGUUCCAUAUCAAA